GGCAGGCUGGAGCUGAAGCCAUUCUAACCUGCAGGCAGUGACUGACUAUUUGUGAAGCUUGCUGGUAAAGGAAACUGAGGCAUCAGGACCCCGAGGCUGUGUACUUCCUGGUGGCGCAUGCGCUCUGCAUAGUGAGAAAUAGAUGCCCCGGGAACUUGGAGAACACUCCAUGAAUGUGUACAGUGUGACACCUCCUGGCUCAGGGCAGUGAUCUAAAAGCAGAGUCAUUCAAGGACAGGUCGUGAACAGCAUGGCAGCCAGCACUUCAUCCACUAAGCCAUCUGCUGAUCCUUUCUACUUGCCAGAGUUUGAAGGUGUGAGUGUUUGCCGGCAUAUGUGUAUGUGCUGCAGGCCAGAGAAUGUCAGCAGAGGGUGUGGGUGGUGAGAACUAAGCACUCACCUCUGGAAGAGAGAGAGCAUCGGGUGCUUUUAACCUCCAGGCCACCUCUCCAGUCCCCAGCUGACAACUGUUUUACUUUGGUGAGAUGUCUUCUUAGAUCCUUUGCUAAUUUUAAAAUUGGAUUCUAUUCUUGAGUUUUAGGAAUUCUUUCUUUUGGGAGGGUGUUGGGGGUCUUAUGUACCCCAAGGUGGCCACUAACUCGCUAUAUGACAGGGAUGUCCUUGAACUUCUGAUGCUCCGGGGUG